rnacentral:lncRNA from 1 species
AUGCAGACAGGGGCAGCCUGGCAGCUGCCUGCACACACCUUCUCAGUCUUCUGUCCUCGUGAAGCUGGCCACACACUGGCUCUGACGAUACCACGUGCCCUACAGGGAUGGGGAGCCAGCUUGUCAGGAGAAACACACUCAGCCUGGCAUCCUUUUAUAGUCACUGCAAGGGAUGAGCCCACCUGGGGUCCCUUGACUUUACAGUGCCCUCCCUACCAGGCCCCGCCUAGCAUUUCCUCCUUGCUUAUGCUUGCUGUGCCCCUAUCCCUCCACACUGAUGAGCCGGGACUGCAGGCUCUAACCUGGUCCUACUACACACAGUGGAGGAAGGGCCUCCUUGGUGAAGAGGCCAGAGCUCUGAGUGCAGGGACAGAGACCAGCAGGUCCUUGAGGCACUGGUGGCUCUUCCUGUGGAAUUGGGAGGGGAGAAAGGAGAGAGGGAGGAGGGAGGGAGAGGAGGAGUUAAAGGGAGGAGGAAGGAAGGGAGGAGGAGGGAAGGAGGGAGUGGGGAUGGAGGGAGGGGGAGGGGAAGAGAGGAGGAGGAAGGAGGGCAGAAGGGAGUGGGGAAGGAGGGAGAGGAGGAGGGAGUGCGGGAGGAGGGAGUGCGGAAGGAAAGGGGGAGGAGGAGGGAGGGGAGAAGGAGUGGGGAAGGAGGGAGGGGAGGAGGCAGAAUGGAGAAGGGGAGGGGGAGGGAAGAUGAGGGAGGGGAGGGAAAAGGGUAAGGAAUGGAGGACUCCAGCACACAAAGGGGCCCACAGACCUGGGGCUGCACAGGAGGCAGUUCUCAGACCACAGCCUUGGACGUGUGGGAUCCAGGCUGCUUCCUCCUGCUCCUAUCUGCCUGCGCUGGCUCUACUCUCUGCAGGACUGGGUCUCCUGCCCAGUGCCCAGCAGCCCUGCUGCUCUGUCAGCUCCUCCGCACAGCCCACCCACUGUUGGUUGCAGUACCUCCAGCCUCUCUCCAGCUCUUUCCCUCUGAGCCUCUCCUCUCAUUCCCAGGCGCCUGAUUCUUCUGUAUUUCCCAAUUCAAAUCCCCAAGAAUCCUGA